UAAAAAAAAACUUUUUAAAUGUAGAGGGUAUCAGAAGUUCUGACAUCUUAUUUUUUGCCUGCAAUUUUUUCUUUUGAUUAAAAUGGGCGGGCCCUGCACAACUCUUAAUUGUACAGUCACUGAAUCUGACCUUUGUAACCCAAUCCUUUAUCAAGAUACAGAACAUUUCCAUAAUUCCAAAAAGUUCCCUCAUGCCACUUCUCAACAUCCAUCCCACUCCCAGAGACAACCAUUGUUCUGAUUUUUUUCUAUACCAUAGACUAGUUUUGCCUGUUCUAGAAUAUCAUAUAAAUAGAAUCUUACUGUAUACACGUGUAAAUUUUCUUUCACUCUGGGUAUUCUUGAGAUCCAUUAUGCUGUAUGUGCAUUUGCAGACGUUCCUCUUUAUUGCUGAAUUGUAUUCCAUUAUACAGCUGUACACAGUUUGUUUAUCCAUUUUUCUGUUGAUGGACAUCUGACCUGUUUCCAGUUUUUACUAUUGUCAACAAAGCUGCUAUCAGAAUUCUUGUAUAAGUCCUUUUGUGACUAUGUCUUUAAUCUUAGUGGGUGAAUUCCUAGGAAUAAAAUUAGCAGAGCAGGUGUAUGUUUAGUUUCAUAGGAAACUGCCAAAUGUUUUCCAAAGUGGUUGUACCAUUUUACAUUCCCACUCAGAGUAUGAAAGUUCCAGUUGUUCCACAUACUUGCCAAUAUUUGGUGUCAAUCUUUUUAAUUUUAGCCAUAAUAGUGGGUAUAUAAUAGUAUAAGAUUGUUCUUUUAUUUUGCAUCUAUCUGAUGACUAAAAACAUUGAGCACUUUUUCAUGUGCUUAUCGUUUUUUUCGAUUGUGGUUAAAAAAUACAUAACAUUAAAUUUAGCAUUUUAAACAUCUGUAAGUUCUAUUGCAUUAUGUAUAUUUACAUUGUUGUGCAACCAUCACCACCAUCCAUCCACAGAAACUUUUCAUCUCCCCAAACUGAAAUUCAGUUCCCAUUAAAAGCUAAUUCCCCAUUCCCACCUCCCCCCAAGCCCCUGACAAUCACCCUUCUACUUUUUCACUAUGAAUUUGACUCCUCUGAGUACUUCAUAUAUGUGGAAUCAUACAGUAUUUGUCCUUUUGUGACUGGCUUAUUUCACUUAAUAUAAUGUCUUCAGACUCAUCCAUGUUGUAGCAUGGGUCAGAAUCUCCUUCCUUUUUAAGAGUGAAUAAUAUUCCAUUGUACAUAUACACCAUAUUUUAUCUAUUCCUCCAUUAAUGGACACUUGGGCUGCUUCCACCUUUUCCCUAUUGGGAUAAUCCUGCUAUGAACAUGGGUGUGCAAAUACCUCUCUGAGUCCCUGCUUUUAUUUCUUUGGGUAUAUACUCAGAAGUAGAAUUGCCACAUCAUAUGAUAAUUCUAUUUUUUAGGAAUUGCUAUAACAUUUUUCCAUAGCGGCUAUACCACUUUACAUUCUCACCAGCAAUGCACAAGCGUUCCAGUUUCUCCAUACUCUUGCCAAUACUUGUUAUCUUGUUCUGUUUUUUUGUUUGUUUGUUCUUGACAACAGCCAUUGAUUACAUUGAGUAUGAUUGUAUGCUUAUUUUAUUGGCCAUUUAUAUAUUCUUUUGUGAAGUGUCUGUUCAAAAUAUUUUGCCCAUUUUAUUGCAUUUUUGUCUGUUAUUGAAUUGUAUAGGUUAUUUUCAUACAGUCUGGAUACCAACCCUUUGUCAGAUACAUGUUUUGCAAAUAUUUUCUCUCAGUAUGUGGCCUGAUUAUUCAUUUUAUUAGUGCUGUUCUUUGAUGAGCAACUAUUUUAAACUUGGUGAAGCCCAAUUUGUCAAUUCCUCAGAAUGAGAGGAGAGAAAAAAUAGGAUUGAAGGCAACGUUUGAAGAAACAAGGGCUGAUAAUUUCCCAAACCUGUUGAAAGACAGUAAUCCACAUAUUCAAAAGCUUGUAAAUCCCAAAUGAGAUAAGUAAAAAGAAACCUACAAUUCGGUAUGACAUAGAGAAACUGCAGAAUAUCAAAGACAAAGAGAAAAAAAAAUUUUAAGCUGAAAUGUGGGGAAAUGGAAAUGCAGAUUUCCUCAAAGGAGGACUAGACUGACUGCUGACUUUUCAACAGCAACAAUAGCACUUAGAGGGCAGAGAAAUGCCAUCUUCAAU